rnacentral:rRNA from 1 species
GUGGGGAAUAUUGGACAAUGGGCGAAAGCCUGAUCCAGCCAUGCCGCGUGUGUGAAGAAGGUCUUCGGAUUGUAAAGCACUUUAAGUUGGGAGGAAGGGCAGUAAGUUAAUACCUUGCUGUUUUGACGUUACCGACAGAAUAAGCACCGGCUAACUUCGUGCCAGCAGCCGCGGUAAUACGAAGGGUGCAAGCGUUAAUCGGAAUUACUGGGCGUAAAGCGCGCGUAGGUGGUUCAGCAAGUUGGAGGUGAAAUCCCCGGGCUCAACCUGGGAACUGCGUCCAAAACUACUGGGCUAGAGUACGGUAGAGGGUAGUGGAAUUUCCUGUGUAGCGGUGAAAUGCGUAGAUAUAGGAAGGAACACCAGUGGCGAAGGCGACUACCUGGACUGAUACUGACACUGAGGUGCGAAAGCAUGGGGAGCAAACAGGAUUAGAUACCCUGGUAGUCC